CGGAGGAUCCAAGCGUUUAUCCGGAAUCAGUUGGGUUUAAAGGGUCCGUAGGCGGUUUGGUAAGUCAGUGGUGAAAGCCCAUCGCUCAACGGUGGAACGGCCAUUGAUGCUGCCAGACUUGAAUUAUUAGGAAGUAACUAGAAUAUGUAGUGUAGCGGUGAAAUGCUUAGAGAUUACAUGGAAUACCAAUUGCGAAGGCAGGUUACUACUAAUGGAUUGACGCUGAUGGACGAAAGCGUGGGUAGCGAACAGGAUUAGAUACCCUGGUAGUCCACGCCGUAAACGAUGGAUACUAGCUGUUGGGAGCAAUCUCAGUGGCUAAGCGAAAGUGAUAAGUAUCCCACCUGGGGAGUACGUUCGCAAGAAUG
rnacentral:rRNA from 1 species